ensembl:lncRNA
GUCUAUGUCCUUAUUAAGAACUAAUUAAUCACAUGUGCACGCAGUUGUCUAAACAACCACGGACCAUCAGCUUUGGAGGCGUUAUUCAUGGGCAUCUGGCUGUAUCUCCUUAUCUUAGAGAGGAAGAAACUGACAUCCAGGAGAGCAAAGGUGACAGGUCCCAGAACACAGCUGGGUAGGGACCCAAAAGAGACUGGAACCCAGCUGAGCCGUUUAACAACUAAAAUCAGAAGAUGGACCUGGCUCCGUGUGUGCCGUGCCUGAGCACGUUAGUAACGAGCCACAGGAGAGAAGCUUGAUUCCAGACAGAAGAUGAUGCCUUCAACAGUUCAGAAGAUAACUUUGCCUCCUUUGCAGAAGUCUGACCCUUGUCCUGAGCAUCCAAUACUAAAAAAUAAAGUGAAGUAUAUGAUUAAAACUUGCGAUUACGUUGGUUCCAGCCAGUGUUGAAAGGAGCUGCAGUGCUGUGUUUGUUCGAUCUGAGAGGGUGAGCAAUCAGAGAUGACCACUGGAUUCUUUCUAGUGCAAACAGAAGUGAAUGCUCAGGGCUAUAAAGCUGAUCUCGGGUCCCUCUGAUUUAACAGAAACACGAUGAAGAUUUCCAGAAAAACGUAGUAAUUUACCUUCUCUGCAAGAGAUAUUCCUUUUACUGGCUUCAAAUUUUGGUGGCCACUGAAAGAACAAAGAAGGAUGAAGUUCUUUCCCAUGACUUUUAUUUAUAUAGGUCUUUACUGCUCGGGAAGUAUUAUCACGUGCUAUCUUGUUUGGAAUAUAAAAGAAAGUGGUGCAUACUGAAGCUAUUAAGAUGAGCUCUUGAUUCUAAAAUGGAAGACUUCAUUUCCCAAGCUUCCUUGCAGUUAUAUUGGACCACGUGACUAAAUUAUGGCCAAUGGGAAUGUGAGCCAAAGUGUUGUGCUACUUCCAGUCUGAGGUAGUUAAGAGUGGGUGUAUAUUCUCCACAGUCUUUCUUGCCUGUGCAGUUGGAAGUGAACGACUCUAAGAUGGUGGAAUUAUAAAAUGGAAGCAGCCUGAGCUGCUGAAUCAUUUGGAGAAAAGAGGACCGCAGAAAGGGCGGAUUUGCUGCUGCGUUAUUUGUUGACGUGGUCACAUAGGAAGUCAACCGCAUUUAAAAUCUGUAAACUCCUGGAUUGCUUCAUCACAGACGCCUCAAGGGAACAAUCAUUCCUCUGAGACCGUAUCAAAGGCAGAGCAAGAGGGAGAGGAAUGAGAACUGCAGAUGCAAAAAGUUAUCAGAAGGCACGGCGAGCUUGAAACCAGAUGGAACCAGAAAUCGUAAUUGCUGUUGAUCUUUUACUACCUGCUUUAGAGUUUACAAAGCAUUUUCCCAUAACUCAUUGCUGUCAAUACAU